GCCUUUUGGUUAAUAGUUGAUGAAAGGUUAUACCUGCCCAGUGAAGAAUAAAAGUAAACGGCUGCAGAUUUUCUGUACUAAGGUAGCGCAGUAAGUAGCCCUCUAAUUAAGGGAUAGUAUGAAUGGUCCGACGUGGAGAAACUGUCUUUUUCAUAAUAAAUUGAAAUUUUUAUCUGAGUGAAAAUACUUAGGAUUUUUAAAAAGACGAGAAGACCCUAUCGAACUUAAUUAGAAAGUGAGAUGCGGUAACACUUAUCUUCUUUUGAAUUUUUGUUGGGGCAGCAAAAAACUAAACAAUGUUUUUGUUUUUAUAAGGACCCUAUAUGAUAGGAAAAAAGCAAAAGUUACCGUAGGGAUAACAGCGUGACACUUUUUGAAAGAUCUUAUUAAGAAAAGAACGUGCGACCUCGAUGUUGAAUUAAGGAAGACUUUACGGUUGCAAAAUUUGUAAAAGUGAAACUGUUCGUUUUUUAAUUCCUU
rnacentral:rRNA from 1 species